UUUGCAUUUCCCAUUGCUCCAUAGUCUCUCUCUCUCUCUCUCUCUCUCGCUCUCCCUCUCUCUCUCUCGCCAGACAGUCUGCAGUUUAAAGCAGUAGGAAGAAGACACCGGAGAGCCCACCGGAGAGGAAGAAAAGCAAGAGAAAGAGUGUUUUAAGCGACAGGCAAAGAGGAAGAGGAACAGGAAAAGGGAGGAGAGAGGAAGUAAGGAAAGAGCAGGGAUUUGUUGAGAAGGUGGUAAGAGAAAGAAGACGGACGGGAGGAUGAAAGAAAGAGGGAGAGAGAGACAGAGUGGUGGUUCUGUGGGAGGGGGAAAGAAGGAGGUGUAGAGACAGAGGAAUGCAGAAAAAGAAGGGGAAUGCUUCUGCUGGCGAUGAUGAAGGAGCUGCAGCUGUAAGAAGAGUCCAGUGUCACAGUCAGCUGGCACAAUGUCACAAACAAUCUGGUGCAGGUAAGUCAUUUCGAUUUGUAACCAGUGAUCUAGCAAUAACAGGAAAAAAUACAAUGGUGGAAGACAGCAUGAAACCUACAACAUGGCUGCUUCUGUUAGACAACUAAUUCAAAUGCUUUGACUCAACUUGGUAAUUAAGUCAGAGGGUUGAGUUUUCACUGAUCUUUAGGGCAGUGUUUGCAGUAAUUAGAUUCCCACUUGUUGUUAUACUGAAAAUGCUUCCUGAAACUUGAAACUUUCAGAUCGCUACUGUUUUGCACCAUGAUGUUUUUAUUGCGAAUAGAUAUACUAACACAAAUGACAGACUUCUAAUAUUUUAUAUUUAGUUUAAUGCCUCAAAAUGUAGAAUCUAUUACCUAGAUAUUUGUUCAGCAUUUCCAUUUAUUGCCCAAUUCCAAAUAUCUCCAGCGUAAUGUCAUUGCACAGUCUAAAUUUGUUCUGUAGCUGUUUGAGAUAUUAAAGCAGGUUUAGGUACCUUUGCUAUAUGCUGCAUCAUUAAUCAAAAUGUGUGGGUGCACCUGCAGAGCUCUUGUCACUUCCUGUUUAGCGUCUUCGUUGGUUCAUCCUGUCAUGGCUGUCCACCCCUUGCAGCACUUCGGGACAGGCUGUUUGUUAGCUUGCUGUCAGCCUGUGUUUUUCAAGUCUUGGAGAACAUUCAACGCUGUCGGUGAGUUUGUGACUCAGAGAAAACCAUCGAGUGUUGAGUGUACCCUAACACUUGAGAUCACAACAACUCACAACACCACGUACCAAAAAAUGUGUAGCACUCAGAUAUUACAUAGUAAUUUUUAGCAAAACACAGAAGUAAAUACUAGCAUUAACAAUGGCUGCAGUCUAUUAAGGUGUCACAAAAUUCCAUGAACAGUCUUACUUAUUUAAAGCUUGUUAAAUAGUCACAACUUUUACUCUGUUUAUUCAUGUUUCUGGAUAUAAAAUUUCCUCCUCAUUUUUGUGUCCCCAAACACAAAUUUUCUUCUGAAUGCACUCAUACUGCAUUUAGGCAAUUAAGUGAUGUAAAUAAUAUGAAUAUUUGACCAUUUUAAGGCUAACAAAGUUUUCAUUUAGAGGCUGGAGGGAUUGUUGUUGGCAUAAACGCUUUUUCAGCUCACACAUCAGACCCCGUUUAAAACCUAAAAGGGUUGAUCUUUUUACCUCAAUUGUGCUAUUUUAAUCACAUCUAUAGAAGCCACUUGGCUAGAUUUAAGCCCUGAAAAGUAAUUAGUAAUGUUUAAGCUGAAAAGUACACAGAUUUAGUUUACACAAGAAAAACUGGAAACAAAAACGACUGGAUCAGGUAAAAAAUAAUAUUCAUAUUAGUUAAUAUAUCAAAGGCGAGGGGAAAUGACGAACAUGCCGACAAACUGUCCCAGCUGUAAAAACAAAAUGUAAAAGUGCCACACAAACCGGAAAUGGACACCAUUUCCCUUCUAAAUAAAAGAUGUGCCCGUUGAAAACUGCAGCGCAGAUGCAACUUUUACUUUGAAGGCCAACGACCUCCACUUCCGGUUCGUGUUGAACUUGGAUUUUCGCAGGGCUAGUAGCUAGCUAGUAUUUGCAGACAAACGUGAAAAAGUACAGUCAGUGGUGGCGGUGUGUUAGGAGCCAAGGUUUUCAGUGCAUCACCAGUGCAUCAAAACAUUUUUCAGCAGCAAAGUGUGGUUGUAUAACGUACAAUAAUGUUGGACAACCCUUGAGCACCGUGUCCAUGAUGUCAAUGAGCCUCAAUAAAAAGCUAUUUUUUGUUCUGUGGGUGUGUUGAGCUGUGCUUAAUUUAGGUUUUAUUCCAGUAUCUUUGUAUACCAAAAUCUGGGUUUCCCACACAUUUUUUAAAAGUAAUAAUUUGUUUUAUAAACUUUACUAAAGAUAAUCAAAUAAUAUUUUCUGUACAAAAAGUGUCCAGGUCAAGUUGUACUUUCAUAUGUUUUUCACCCUUUUUAUCACACACAGGAAGCAUGUAUCCAAUUGUUUUGUGAAUAAUGUAUCACUUUGUUUCUGAUUGACUGUUGCUUAUUGUUACAUUGUAUAAAGCUCUGCCUUGGCCAGUUCUAAUCCAGUGCAUGAUUCCGGCUCACAUUCAUCGCUGUCGGUGGGUUAGUAAUGCCAUAAACUCGCCGGGGGAUGAAUGACAACUGUGUCCAUGCUUGGCUGCGGUUCCUGAUGUCUUCUUUUUUUCUUUCAGCUGCUUGUAUCUGCUUAACUGAUGGAUUGUUUGUGUUGUUUUUCUAAAUGAAAUAUGAACCCCAAAAGAAAAUAAAGAUUUUCAAACAGAUUCAAAUUACUGUCAUAUUUGGUGUGUCACAAGAUGCAUGAUUAUUUUAGAAGGACUGUCAGUGUAAUUUUUCGUUUCUCUGUUAUGAAUUCUGAUAAUAAAAAACAAGAAGGAAAAACAGAUACAAAACUAGAGUAUUUUAAGGAUGUUGUGAAGGCCUGAAAGAAACUGAAACAGAAUGCAAAAUUUCUAAAAGGUCAUGGACAUAAUCACAAUACGUCUAUCUGAUAGCAGUAUACAGUCCUGACGAUGAUAGGAAGUUCCUGCUCUCAUCUGGGAAUGACAAAGGCACCCCAAAACCUGGGACUUUUUUUUAUUGACUUCUGAGACCCUUCAGCAAUGUGACUACACACCAGAUUACACACAUUAAGGAGUGGGACCCUGUAGAGGAUACUUUGGGAUUAGGCCUCAGGCCCCACAUAUGUAUAGACAUGUGUGGUGAAGUACUAAAUGCGGUAUAUGUGCAAAAAAGCUAUGCUAACUGAGAGCCAACAAAGGUAACGUUAUUGGUCUUACUUGGAAAUGAGCCAACGCAGGACACUUAUAGUUCACACAUCUUUUCUGACAUUUGGCCAGAAUGCUGUUUCAUAAUGAUACAAACAAAUGUAAAGCUCAGUAUAUACUGUCACAAACCUUUUGCACACAUAUAUGCUUAACCAUAGGCUCUGUUCAUUAUUACAGUAUAAAAUAAUGAACAUUCAUUCAUUUGGCCAGGGAUAGCUCAGUAGGUAGAGUGGUUGCCCCAUGAUCAGAAGGUCAGGGGUUCAAACCCACUGAAUGGCUACCCUGAGGUACCCCUGAGCAAGGUACCAUCCCUACACACUGCUCCCUGGUGUGCCUGCUUAGUAGCUGCCCACUACUUCACUGAGUGAAUGGGUCAAAUGCAGAGAGAGUAGUUUCCCUGCGGGGAUCAAUAAAGUAUACAUUAAUAUCAUUAUUAUUAAAAGCCAGGUUUCAUUUGACUGGGUUUUGUUGAAGACAUACUGCACAUAUCUACACAUUUAUAUCUUCAAAAACAAUUGGAAUAUUAGACAUGUAGUCAACUCCUCCACCUCUUUCUUGCUCCAGGGGUUUCCUAUUGUCUGAUGUUCAGCAGGUGGAGUGGAGCUCAGACAGACUUGGCCACUUGGGGAUAUUCCACCUUUUCCUCUAAACACGUUCUUUGAUAGAGGCAGACCCAGAAACUCCUCCCAGGUAGAGCACAGUGUCCAGCAAACCAUCUUUUUCCAUCUGAAAGAGGGAUCCCAUCAGACCCACAGCUGCUCUCUGACCUCCGCCUGACCCCAACAGUGCAAUGUGAGGAACCAUAUCCUGGUGAAAAGAGAGAAAAACAGGACAAACUCCUGCUCUCCAGCAGAUAAGGACUGUGACUGAUGUACAUACUUCUGCAACACACAAGGAAGUAUUACAGGACGCACAUAAGAAAACUUUAAGGUUGGGAUCUACAACAUAAAUAUUAACUAUGUAAAGUGUCAUUUUAAAUAUACACUUUAAAAUAUACACUUUAAAAGAUUUGCCAUUUAAAAAAAUGACAAAAAACUAGAUAAACAUGUGUGAAAACAUUGAAUUUCUCU